CCUUUUUGUUGGUACAGGACCUUUCCGUAUGCUGUCUAAGCUCGUUCUUGGUAACCGCGUGGAUGAACAUUGAGAUAGAUCUGGGGAGAAUUUAUACUCGAUGGAGCUCUGGUUCUUCCUUCUUAUUUCCAAGAAGCGACCAAUUGGAAGGACUCCUCCUCGCCUAAAGUGGGGUACCAUGGCUUCUCAUCUUACGAUAGACUAUGGAAUCCCUGUACACUUCAGUGAACUCACCACCAGUGUUCUAACGUCAUUCCCUACAUUCUUGAUUCUCGAUUCCCAACUUCUUCCAUCGAGUUGGCACUUGCGAUGGUGCUUCAGUGACCUGACGAUAUGACCUAUCCGACAGUUCCACUUUGGAUUACAUACGAAGAUUCCUUUACAAGUUACUUCACUUUCGUAUUUGAACGCGUACAGAUGGCACUGCUGAGAAAAUAGUACAGGAGGAUUUUCGAGAUUCUUGAAGACUGACGAAGCAACGAUUUUAAUGCGUGGGAAUUAUGCACAUGAAGGAUAAUUCAUAUUCCGCUUGCAAGAUUAUGAAAAAAAAAUCCUGCGCAUCUUUCAACACGAUUAAAUAUACGUUAGAAUUCGUGGUCGAAUCUCGUGUGAUAUACAACGAUAAAUUUGUGUAGACUAUAGAAUUUUGGCGAUAAAUUUCUCUCCCGUAAAACACAAGACUUGAGAAGCCAGAAACGCGAAAGAAUAACGGCGUGACGCUAACGAAGCAGAUUCCUGUCACCGAUAAGAGAGUCCAUUGUAUUUUCUGAGAAACGGCAGGCAAGGUCUGUUCUCAAGGAAAUUAAUUGCGAACGAUACCGAUUACUAAAUAUCGGACGUUCGAUCUGACUGGUUUGGCAAAAGUGUUGCGUUUCUCUUCAAUUUAUAUUAUCCUGUGCGAAUUACACCAUUUUACAGGUACUCGUACACGUAAUGAUACUCAUUACUAACGACUGAUCCCAAACUACCUUAAGUACCGGAAUACGUUCAGUAUUAAAUAUUUGUAAACUCUUAUCUACUCGAAAAACCGUGAAAAUUUUCUAGAGACCGGUUCAGAGUAAAUAAAUUAACGAUCCAA